UUAGAGGGAGAUGGGGGAUGGGGUGUGAGAGCAACAAUAGCAUUAGAGGGAGAUGGGAGAUAGGGGUGUGAGAGCAACAGGAAUGGAGGAUUUCCUGACACCUGAAUAGUCAGAGAGACCAUCACAGGGAAGGUGACACAUGAGAAGAGGCUUCACAGAAGAAAAGGAAGAAACUACCAGGAAUUUCUUAUUUUGUCCAAAUGGACCCAAUCUAGUCUUGACCAGUGGAAGGUUCCUGCUAUUUCUUCUGAGGCCACAACUGCCUUUGCCAAUGCCUCAUCAGGUUGUCCAGGGCCUGAAGCUUAUACCUCACCAUGGAUUCCCAUGACAGCAUGGGGCAAGGGAGUCCUCGGGACCCAAGACAAAGAGUGGGAAGGGACUGAAGAGAUGUGGAAGAGACUGCAGAGAUGUGGAAGAGCUCCCGUCAACCCUACUGCAGACCUGGACCGAAGUCAAAGCAUGAACAGUGCAUAGGAGCCUGAAGCUGUGCCCACCCCACGCUGAGAAGGUUCAAAUUCCCUCAACAAGUAUUUACUGAGUGCCUCCCUUGGGUCAGGCACUCUUCUAAGCAUUGGAGAACACCAGUGAGCAAAAAAGAAUUUCUGACCUUGGGAGCUGACAUUCUAUUAAGGAGACAGACAAAAGACUCAUGUUCUGUAGAAAUAUUUUAUAGCUUGAGCUUUGUGGUGAUUAUGCAUGUGUGUGUUUAUGUAAAAAAUUCAUUCAGCUCUUAAGAUUUAUGCAUUUUAUUUUAAGUGAUACUUUGAUUAAAAAGCAAAAUAAAAAUUUAUUGUUAUUAUAUGUAUUUUUCACGUAUUAAAAAGACUGUUAGUCUCUAGCGAUGGUAAGGGUCUGAGCAAGAGAGUCAUCCUAGACAACUGGCAAUAAUGAAUAGGACGCUACUCCCUUUUUGAAGGGUAGUUUGAUAAUAUUGUCAAAACUCAUAGAGUCUGACCCAGUCACUUUAUUUAUAUGAAAUUGUAUUACUUGUGCACGAAAGCCAAAGAUGAAAAAAAGCUUAUUGUAACAAUGUUUGUAGUAGCUAAACAUUGGAGGAGGUGAGAAGCUAACAGUUUUCAACAAGCAAAUUGUAAUUUUUUUGGAUCCAGAGAUCAGAAAUUAGAUUUAGCAUUCAUUCAAUACUUAUCAAAUGCAUAUUUAUUCAGUAGUUUUCAAUAUUUAUUGAGUAGUUUUACCGUGUGUUGAAAACUAUGCCAAGUACUAAAAACAGAAUCACUAAGUAUUAAGCUAUAAACAUGCCAUGAAAGUUUUUUUAAGGCAAACAGAAGAGUAUUACAGAAUGAUCUGAAUUUUAGGAAGAAAUAAAAAAAUAAAGUAUGCCUCUAUGUGUCUAUGCCUAAGAAAACCACUGUAUAUCUAGAAGAAAAGGCUUUGAAGAUACUGUCGUGCUGGACCCUUAUUGAUUUCAAUAGGAGUGGCACCAUGUUCAAGAGGCCAAAGAAGAGACCUGGAGCCAGCAAAUGAGACAGAGGGUUUAUUGAGGGGACUUACAUACAGGGCAGCACAGUGGUGGUGGGCUGGACAGAGCAACAACUACCAUUUAUAAAAAGCAUGCAGUUUACAUAGCAUUUUCACUUAGCACUCUCCUUCUAGCAGUCUCCACCUGGCCACCUUCAUUUAACCCAAAACACAGGGCCUUGAUUCCCUAUAUGGUGUGUGUUCCACAGGAUGGGCCAUGAGUUCAAAUGUUUCUCUUAGGUAAGCAAUGACUCUCCGGGUGGCCACUCCCAGAUUUCUUAGCUCAGAAUUCCGAACACACAUUCUUCUUAGACUAUAGAGUCAUUCUCAAGGUGUGCUUAAGUUAUGGCUGUCAGGUGCAUCUGCCAUUCAGAUACAUACCAGUUGUUAGCAGUGAUAUUCUUGAAAGAAUAAUAAUUGAGG
rnacentral:lncRNA from 1 species